GCUUAACGCGAAGAACCUUACCAAGGCUUGACAUAUAGCAGAACGCUCUAGAAAUAGAGAACUCUUUGGACACUGUUAUACAGGUGGUGCAUGGUUGUCGUCAGCUCGUGUCGUGAGAUGUUCGGUUAAGUCCGGCAACGAGCGCAACCCUCGUCCUAUGUUGCCAGCGGUUCGGCCGGGAACUCAUGGGAUACUGCCGUGGUCAACACGGAGGAAGGUGGGGAUGACGUCAAAUCAUCAUGCCCCUUAUGUCUUGGGCUUCACGCAUGCUACAAUGGCCGGUACAAUGGGCUGCGAUACCGUGAGGUGGAGCGAAUCCCAAAAAGCCGGUCUCAGUUCGGAUCGGGGUCUGCAACUCGACCCCGUGAAGUCGGAGUCGCUAGUAAUCGCAGAUCAGCAACGCUGCGGUGAAUACGUUCCCGGG
rnacentral:rRNA from 1 species